GUUCUCAGUUUGGCAGCACAUAAACUAAAAUUGGAAUGAUGCAGCAAAGAUUAGCAUGGUGCCUGUGUGAGGAUGACACAUAAAUUUGUAAAGUAUUUCAUAUUUUU
ensembl:snRNA U6 U6 spliceosomal RNA